rnacentral:rRNA from 1 species
AUUGAACGCUGGCGGCAUGCCCUACACAUGCAAGUCGAACGGUAACAGGUCUUCGGAUGCUGACGAGUGGCGAACGGGUGAGUAAUACGUCGGAACGUGCCUAGUAGUGGGGGAUAACUACUCGAAAGAGUGGCUAAUACCGCAUGAGAUCUACGGAUGAAAGCAGGGGAUCGCAAGACCUUGUGCUACUAGAGCGGCCGAUGGCAGAUUAGGUAGUUGGUGGGAUAAAAGCUUACCAAGCCGACGAUCUGUAGCUGGUCUGAGAGGACGAUCAGCCACACUGGGACUGAGACACGGCCCAGACUCCUACGGGAGGCAGCAGUGGGGAAUUUUGGACAAUGGGCGAAAGCCUGAUCCAGCAAUGCCGCGUGCAGGAUGAAGGCCUUCGGGUUGUAAACUGCUUUUGUACGGAACGAAAAGCCCCGGGUUAAUACCCUGGGGUCAUGACGGUACCGUAAGAAUAAGCACCGGCUAACUACGUGCCAGCAGCCGCCGUAA